CGCUGCUCCGGCUCUGCCGCGGGAGGUGGCUGGGCGCGAGGGAGGGGCUAUCCCGGGCUGCGGCGAUGGGGGGGGGGGGAGGGGGCUUAGUCCAUCCGCGGACGGAGGAUUGGCGGCAUCCAAAGCCAGCAGUCCCAAUGCAAGCGAGAGCCCUGGGCCUUGGCCGGGUGGGGUGCAGGGGAGCGCAGAGAGACUGAGAGGGAAGGAGGGGGUGGCUGGAAGUAUGAAGAGGAUUUGGAGGGGGGCCACCUUCUGCAGUUGUCACCGCGUCAGUUCUGGGCAGCCUCCAGAGCACCCCUCCCCCCCCACCUCUUCCAGGCAACUUCUUCCAACAGCCCCCCCCCCCCCUUCUAGUGGACACCCCCACCCAGCCACCCAACUCUCACGCCUCGUCUUUUCCAACCCGGCACAAAGAAAAAUCUCAGUCUUUCCAUAAACUUUGUGCUUCCAAGGAUGCCGCCCCCUCCCAGAGCCUCCCUCACCACCCUCCGCCCCAGUUUCUUGGCAGGAAGGUUAGGCCACUGGCAAAAUACUCAGCUACAGCCAGCUGAUGACAAAUGCCAACUGAGUGUCUGGGGGCCAGUUAAGUCCUCGCAUCUGCCCAGGCUCUCAGGAGACCUAUUUCAAGGUUUCCUGGAGAUGGCUGUGGCUGCAGACCACCCUUCCACCCCCAAAUGGCCGCACUGUUGGGGUGCUGAGCCCUAAAAGUGCUCUUUUGUCCCCCUCCGGAGUUUCCAUUUAAAUUGUUUAAAAAAAAAAAAACAUUUGGCAGACUGGUCUUUCUCUUCUCCCAUCAAAAAAGGAGGACAUUACUAAGUGAUGAGCACUAGUUCUUCUGGCCACAGGGAAGCAGCCAACGUCUAGUAAAAGACUUGAUCUUGGCCAUAAUUUUCCAAGCAGGUGGGCACUGAGGGAUUCAACCAGGCUCCGGGUCCAUGUUAAUGUGUGCUCAGCCAGUGCACCAUUGCCCAGCUCCCCCAGUGAGGCCCAGUGAACACCACUUGUGAUUCCAGGCUCCACUGAAGAGCACUGAUUUUAUCUGUAUGUAUUUAUCCUCCCAAGUUAUUGAGUACUCUUCAUCUGAGAUUCAGUUUCUGUGAGGAUUGCUGAGCAUGGAUGUGGGGAUAAAGGUGGGCUUGGAGUUAUCAUCUCUGUUGACAAAGAAGUUGACAACAUUAUCGCCAGUCAUUGACAGCAAGGUCAUCAGUAUCACAGGGAAUCAAUCAUCUCACUGCAUCUGCAUCUCAUCUCAGCAUCACCAAAUCACUGCAGUUCCUCCAUGCAGAGUGACUGGUUUAUGCUUCAUAACCACGAAGGAUGUGGAAAGUUCACCUUACUCAAGUAAAUAGCAAUAUAAAAUAUCAAUAAACAUGGAAAAUGAAGAAGA